CAAAAAGAAUCCAACACGGAAGAGGGGCAGUGAGUUGGCGGAGAUCGAGAGCAGGGACAGUGCAACCAAACAAUGAACAAAACAAUGAAAACAGAAUCUUUUUUAUAUAACAGAACAAUCAAAACAUGAAUCAUACAAUCACUAAUUGCAAAUUUUUUCUUCAUAAGAACAGAACAAUGAAAACAUGAAGCAUAUAAUAAAUCAAAAGAUCACAAAUUGCAAAUUUUUUAAUAAGAACAGAAGUUAGAACAAUGAAAACUGAAGAAGAUUAACAGUUUUCAACCCAAUUUUAACAAAGCUCAUCACAAUGAUUAACAACAAAAAAAAAAAGCAAUGAAGGAACAGUGAAUCAUAAUAGAGUUAUCAAUUUAAAAUUUAUCAUUAAAUACAAUCAGUGAGCAAAACUAAUCAACCAAGCACUGACUGGGCAUUUGAAAAAAGAAGAAAGAAUCUUUCAUUUAAAUCACAGCAACAACACAACAACACCAAUAGGAACAUUUAAAACAAAGCAACCAAAAAAAAUAUCUCAAAAUCACCAUUGCUGAAAACAAUAAUUUGAUACGUGUAUGCUCAAAGAAUAAAAGCUAAGCUUCCAGGAAAGUGAAGAAUACCCAAACCAAAGAACCUUCAAUCACAGCUUAAACCAAGAACAGAAAAUCACAACAAAAUGAAAAAAAAAAUUAAAGAUAACAGAACAACAACACAAGAACAAUUAGCAAAUUAACAAGUUCACAAUAACAGUUAAAAUUUACCAGUGUGCAAGUGGAAUCAUUAUGCUAAUAUGUUUUCUGCAAAGACGCUAUUUGUGCAGCUAAAAUUUCCUAAUUACUAAGAUCCAACUAUUCUUAAUUUCACAUGCAAUCAACUUACCAAGUUUCUAAAAGCUAGAAAUUAUAAAACCAACCAGAAAUAUGGUUAAAGCAUUUCAUCAAACAUGUUGAAUGCGGUAAAAUUAAAACGAAAUAAGAGAACUCAAAGCUUAAUAUCAAUGUGAUAGAGAAGAGAACAUAACAAUUGUAUAAUCUAUG